AUGGACAGUGUGGCAUUUGAUCCUCACAACAACCCUAAGAGUGUGACAGCCAAGGGUUAUGUACAAGACUGUGUCCAAAGAAGAGUGGAAGGCUGAGAAUGCAAGUCACAGCCCAGUGAGGCUAUCUGUCCAAAACAGUGGACACAGGUGAAAGAGCAUUGGAGAUGGAAUGAUUGAAAGAGUCAGCAGAGCUUGCUGACCAUGGCUACUAUAACCCUGUGGAACUUGAUCUAGCCCAGAAGUGGAUCAACUUGGCAGCUGAGAUGCUAUGUCCUACAAGCAUUGGCCGGGCCACCCCUGGAAGUGAACCUGAUGGUGGGAAGAAUGUUGAUAGCUACCAUGUUAAGUUUGAGGUCACUCUCUUCACGGACCAAACCAUAGAGGGAGAAGUAUCCCUGGAACUUUGAUUCUUGCUAUGUCUUUUCAGUAAAUGCCCCUUUGUAAAAA